GCGCCGUUAGCUCAAUUGGCAGAGCAGGGGCCUUUUAAGCCCAAGGUUCGGAGUUCGAUCCUCCGACGGCGCACCU
rnacentral:tRNA from 1 species